CAAACUUUACAAGACACCACUAACUGCGUCCUUUUGUUUUAAAUUCCUGGUAUCCCUGCACACUGCUAGCAGGCUGUGCUGAGCACACAGGUGUUCCUGCUUAGUAUGCCUACCUGCUGCUCUCCUGGCAGGCAGUGAAAAAGGGGAGGGCAGGGGACAGGUGGGUUAUAUGGAUAUGAUCAGCCAGAGGGGAAGUAGCUCUGGGUGCUCGUAGUUACAGUAGCAACCUUCUUGCAUCUGAGCUGAAGAACAGUCCUUUAAGUGGGAUGGAAGAAAAGAACCCUACAUGCACUUUGUGAUGGAUCUGUCUUUCUCUGCUGCAGCCUUCUGUAAAAGCAUUUCUAAGCUUGAUACGUCCUGUGCCUGGAUCCUGUCACCUGCAGCAGCCAUGAGUUCACAAUGCAGCCUGAUGGCUGGGCACCUUUGCCAUGCUUCUGAGGGGAAGAAGGGAGAAGAGCUUGUUGUGUUCUGCAGAUCCAAGUGUGGUAGAACCUCAGCAGGGUAGGUCCUGCCUGCUCCUCAUGAAGCUCAGCAGUUGUGUCCCUGGGCAGGCAGUGUGCCAGCAGUGGUUUCCUGGAUACAUGACUGUGUCUGCUGGAGUGGGAGCAAUCACUGCAGCUCAUUAUAGGGAGGAUGAAUAAGAGUAACUGUGCUGAUUUCAUUGUUUCCUUAGUGAGAAGGCACCUAAUAAACAGCAGCACAAGUACCUUCA
rnacentral:lncRNA from 1 species